UGGCAUAAGAAUAAAAAAACGAAGGGAUGAAACCUCACUUGGGACAACCGAGGCUUUGAUCCAAGAUUCACGUCAUUAUCAAAACGCCACACGCAGGGAUACGGAAUGCACAUGUCCAGCCAUUCUCGCCGGCGUCUCUCUCCCUGGCUAGAACACAAAAAAACAAACAUGAAAUCGCAUCGCCUACCUCGAUUCCAGAAUCAUAACGAAAAUCACCAAACAAAAUUCACCCACCCACACUCGAUUCCAAGACUAAGCCACACGACUAAGCAUGGAUUUGGAUCGACAACAAUCGAACGGAUCUCUAAGCUUCGCGGCGAGCUACGGCGAGCAUAAAUC
rnacentral:lncRNA from 1 species